rnacentral:tRNA from 1 species
CCUGGUGGCUCAGACGGUAAAGUGUCUGCCUACAAUGCAGGAAACCCGGGUUCAAUCCCUGGGUCAGGA